CGCCCGGCCGGAUCCCGUGGGGGGAAUCCGAUCCCGGGGCACAGGAAGGCGCCCUGACCGUUGGC
rfam:Streptomyces sp. SPB74 genomic scaffold supercont3.1, whole genome shotgun sequence.